rnacentral:rRNA from 1 species
UCCUGGCUCAGGAUGAACGCUAGCUACAGGCUUAACACAUGCAAGUCGAGGGCAGCAUGAGCUUAGCUUGCUAAGCUUGAUGGCGACCGGCGCACGGUGAGUAACGCGUAUCCAACCUUCCCCUUAGUAGGGCAUAGCCCGGUGAAAAUCGGAUUAAUACCCUAUGUUCUUCACAGCGGACAUCUAACGUGAAGCAAAGGUUCACCGCUAAGGGAUGGGGAUGCGUCUGAUUAGGUAGUCGGCGGGGUAACGGCCCACCGAGCCAUCGAUCAGUAGGGUCUGAGAGGAAGGUCCCCCACAUUGGAACUGAGACACGGUCCAAACUCCUACGGGAGGCAGCAGUGAGGAAUAUUGGUCAAUGGUCGAGAGACUGAACCAGCCAAGUAGCGUGCCAGGAUGACGGCCCUAUGGGUUGUAAACUGCUUUUAUGCGGGGAUAAAGUCACCCACGUGUGGGUGUUUGCAGGUACCGCAUGAAUAAGGACCGGCUAAUUCCGUGCCAGCCGCCGC